CCUCCGGGAUUCAUCCUUUAUUAAUAUUUUUCAAUUUACUAUAUUCUUAACCAUCCAAUUAUCUUGAAUGAUGACUUCCCUAUGUUUUUUAAACUUCUUUUAUAAAGGAAUAAAACGAGGCACGUGUGCCUUUUUGCAUGUACUUUAUGAAUAAGGAUCGGCUAACUCCGUGCCAGCAGCCGCGGUAAUACGGAGGAUCCGAGCGUUAUCCGGAUUUAUUGGGUUUAAAGGGAGCGUAGAUGGGUUGUUAAGUCAGUUGUGAAAGUUUGCGGCUCAACCGUAAAAUUGCAAUUGAUACUGGCAGUCUUGAGUACAGUUGAGGUAGGCGGAAUUCGUGGUGUAGCGGUGAAAUGCUUAGAUAUCACGAAGAACCCCGAUUGCGAAGGCAGCUUACUAAACUGUGACUGACAUUGAUGCUCGAAAGUGUGGGUAUCAAACAGGAUUAGAUACCCGAGUAGUC
rnacentral:rRNA from 1 species